UUAAGGAGAGAGAUUAUCGUCUGCACUUCAUCUCCCGUUAGAAGAUGAUGACAAAAUUUUAACAUUCAAAAUGAUGGAAAAUGAUCAUAGUACAAAAAAAGAAAAAGAAAAAACGUAAGACUCUAACCACAGAAACCACUACCCAUUUCCAACUAUCGACAUAUCUUCCCACACCCAAACAAUUGACACAUAAUAUCCGACACUAGCAAUAAAAACAGCAACGUGAAUCCUUCGAGCAUGCAACCAAAAUAACAGAUAUAAAAAAAUAGAACAAAAAUCAGAUUUGCCACGCUUUGCCGUCGGCCGCCAUGCAACGCCUCCACCAUCCGUAGCGCCAUCGGCCUCUCGUCUCCCCUCCGCCGCAGCUGCCUCCUGUUCACCGUUGAUCUCACCGUUGGUCUUCUGGACGGCCAUAUGCGGCUAUGUUGUCUUUUAAGCCUUUUCUUUGCAGUGGGCUGACCUAAGACGAAAUUACAGGAAGGUCCUUUUUCUUUCCAUUUUGAGGCAUUAAGCGGCCGCCUCAGUCACCAAAGAGUUGGGCCGGCCCUGUUCGCUGUCCGCCGCCGACAGCUGGUUUCGGUUUUCUUCUUGGCAGCAGAGAAAGCGUGGAAUAAGAAACGGUGGUACUGAAGAAGAUCUCCCAGCUGUGCAGAUCCGAGAGAGGAGAGAGAGAGAGAGAGAGAGAGAGAGAGAGAGAGAGAGAGAGA
rnacentral:lncRNA from 1 species